AGCCGAGACUACACUUCCUGUGAGGCCUCGGCAGCGGCGGCGGAGCGGCGUGGUCAGAGAGAGCUUCAGAGAAGCCGUGGUGGGUUCGGCGUGACGGUGGAGGAGGAGGCGAGUCUCGGUUUCUUCAUGUGGCUGCAGAUGGCAGGAUUUUCCAAAGCUUUGUGGCUGAAACAUAUUCUGUGGUGUAUCUAUACAGCAGUUUCCUCAUCCCUGCAGCUGCGUAUGCAUAGAUUCAACAGUAUGGCUCCAAAUGAUGACAUUUCAUUCUGUUUUUCUGGUUGAAGACUAUUCUAUUUGUGUACAUCCAUCGCAGUUACUUUAUCCCUUCAUCUGUGGCUGGACAGGUUUUUCCACAUGGCUGCAAAUGACUAGAUGUAACCCAUUUCUAUGGUUGAAGAAUACUCCAUUCUGGAUGCAUAUUGCAGUUUCCUCAUCCCUUCAUCAGUGAAUGAACGG